GACGAACGCUGGCGGCGUGCUUAACACAUGCAAGUCGAACGGAAAGGCCCUGCUUUUGUGGGGUGCUCGAGUGGCGCGCGGGUGAGUAACACGUGAGUAACCUGCCCUUGACUUUGGGAUAACUUCAGGAAACUGGGGCUAAUACCGGAUAGGAGCUCCUGCUGCAUGGUGGGGGUUGGAAAGUUUCGGCGGUUGGGGAUGGAUUCGCGGCUUAUCAGCUUGUUGGUGGGGUAGUGGCUUACCAAGGCUUUGACGGGUAGCCGGCCUGAGAGGGUGAACGGGGACAUGGGGACUGAGAUAGGGAGCAGACUCCUACGGGAGGCAGAAGUGGGGAAUAUUGCACAGUGGGCGGAAGCCUGAGGCAGAAACGCUGCGUGCGGGAUGACGGCCUUCGGGUUGUAAAGCGCAGUAGCCUGUGACGAAGCGUGAGUGACGGUAAUGGGUAAAGAAGCACCGGCUAACUACAUG
rnacentral:rRNA from 1 species